rnacentral:lncRNA from 1 species
CCGUUGAUAGGAAGGAAAGGAAAGGAAGGAACCAGAAGACGGCGGCAAGCAAGCAACUGUCGCUGAGGCACUGCGAGUUAGGGCUCGCCACCUUCUCGUCUGGCCUUCGCCGCCUUGCUGGCGGCGCCGCCUCUCCCUCCUCCGUCGCCGCCGUUUCUCCGGCUCCUGCUGUUCCACCUCGUCUCGCGAGGACGACGGUGAGGAGUCCGGCGGAAGAAGGUCACGUUCGUCGUAAUUGCGGAUCGCCUGGUCGGCAGGCCGGGGAAAAUACUCCACACGUUCUGGGUCUGAAUCCCGAUCGCGUUGUGUUCCCGCCGGAGUUGCUGGAUCUUUCUGCCAAUAAUGCCGAGGGAGAUGAUUCCGAGUUAAUUCAACGGCUAGGUCGUCCCUGAAGUUGACGUGUGGAGAGACUUUUUCUUCUCUGUGAGGCCUCUAAAUGCUUUGGAUUUCUCUUGCCUUGUCUGUCUGUGGAAGUAGCGCUUCGUUCAAUAUGCCAACUGUGCUUUGAGUCUCUGAGAAACGUUGACCUUGUCAUUCCACGGCUGCCUGCUGAGUAUCGCGUCAUCUCUCUUUCUUCCGAAUGUUUAUUGAUCCAUGUUUAUUCUAUUCUUGUUUCGGAAACUGGAUGAUCUAUCGCUGUGCGAUGGUUCGCCUGAGAUUCGUGCCUUCUCUAAGCUCCGAUCGCUUCAUUUCUGUAGAGUGAUCUGUUCGUUUGCCCGAACGUCACUCGGAUCAAAUUUCGAAUUGAUCCGUUGAAUGGAUAACGAUGGGUUCUCGAUCAUUUCUUUUGUGGCAGUUCCUUCAGACGGAUGUUGUUGCUUGAUUGUCGCAUGGAUCUGCUUUUUACAAAUUUUUUAUGCAACGGAUCAUAUACAAUGAUUACACGAUCCUAUCAACACAUCAUGAACUUAGCAAACGUCCGAUUAACCAUAUGAUUCUGCAGAUGUAGAAACCAACCGUCUUUGAUCUGAAUACACGGCAGACAUUCAGCGCAAGUUCUCUUUUGAUUUCACAAACCACAAAUUUUAUACAAAAUAGUCAAUUUCCGAUUCACAGGAAGGCCAUCCAUGAGCAAAACGAUGGCGAAAUCUCCUUCUCACCCAGAUUAUGGACGAGCGAAGAACCCUAAACCUAUAGGAACCCACCCGUCUCCACCGACGGUGCUCCCAACCCUGUCCGGAGGCCAGUACCUAUACACAGAUCUCCCCAGUAUGUUCUUCAGUGGCAGAGGCCCCCUUCACACAGACCCCAAAUCAGCCAACCACAAACAAAAUUGGAAAAUUUCAUUUGAAUUAGAUUCAAAGAAUGCAGCUAGACGGUACCAUAUGUGGGAAUCAUAGCUGUUGUUCCGAUUGUCGCCCAUCACGAAGACGUUGCCCUCAGGCACUUUCUGUGACGAAGAACACCCAUCGGUUCAUGCAAACAUAGGCGUUGACUGAAGGGUGGGGGAGAUGUAGAGACUCACUGUAGGGUUCAUGUCGUAUGAUGGGGGUUCAAGGAUGAAGUCUUCAGUUCUCUCUCGCUCAUUAACUAUGAGCUUCCCAUUGUGCACCUUCCAGAGAGAGAAAUAAUUAGACAUCAAGGUCACAGACACAGAUGAGAGAGAGAGAGAGAGAGAGAGAGGAUUGAUCACCUCAACUACAUCACCUUCCUUGGCGACGACCCGUUUGAUGAAGACCUCCUCGUCACUGUAGCCAACUUCCUGUAGAGCACCGGAGGAACCAAGAACUCUUUUCACAUGUACGAUAAAAAAUACUAUUUUCUGUCUGAUUUUUACCUGCAGGACUGGCGGGCUCUUGAAUAUCACUAUCUCGUUCACGCAGGGCGCCCUGAACAAGUAGGAGACCUGACCACCGAUGGCGCGGCAUGAAGAGUCAUUCAUCAGCCAGUGGGUACACCAGGUGGAGGACGAAGUGGGUUUACCUUCUCUGCAACUAUCCGGUCUCCGACGUCAAAUGUGGGG